rnacentral:misc_RNA from 1 species
AAGUCGUAACAAGGUUUCCGUAGGUGAACCUGCGGAAGGAUCAUUUCCAAAACCAAACUGAUGAAAAAGUGACGCAAGUGACUUUUUGAUCAGUUCAUAUUCUUACAAACACCAUUUGGUAUUCUUUUAUAACGUCUAACAUUCUAAAAUUUAAAAACAAAUACAACUUUAACAACGGAUCUCUUGGCUCUC